rnacentral:rRNA from 1 species
CCUACGGGGGGCAGCAGUGGGGAAUAUUGCACAAUGGGGGAAACCCUGAUGCAGCGACGCCGCGUGAGUGAAGAAGUAUUUCGGUAUGUAAAGCUCUAUCAGCAGGGAAGAAAAUGACGGUACCUGAUGAAGAAGCCCCGGCUAACUACGUGCCAGCAGCCGCGGUAAUACGUAGGGGGCAAGCGUUAUCCGGAUUUACUGGGUGUAAAGGGAGCGUAGACGGCAGCACAAGUCUGGAGUGAAAUGCCGGGGCUUAACCCCGGAACUGCUUUUGAAACUGUGCAGCUAGAGUGCAGGAGAGGUAAGUGGAAUUCCUAAUGUAGCGGUGAAAUGCGUAGAGAUUAGGAGGAACACUAGUGGCGAAGGCGGCUUACUGGACUGUAACUGACGUUGAGGCGCGAAAGCGUGGGGAGCAAACAGGAUUAGAUACCCUAGUAGUC